AUUACUGAGAGGCGCAGGUUACUGUUCCGUUUGACCUUCUGCUUUGUUGACAAUAUUACUGAGAGGCGCAGAUUACUGUUCUGUUUGACCUUCUGCUUUGUUGACAAUAUUACUGAGAGGCGCAGAUUACUGUUCCGUUUGAUAAAACGGGUUCAACCCGUCCAGCAUAAAAUAACUCUGUCGCUUAUAUCAAUUUAAUUCAAAAGGGCUUUCCACCACAAUUACGUCCACCCCCACUGCCGCUUUUGUUCGCCAACCCGGAAGUAGAUUUCCCUCGGUCCUCAGAAGACAUUUUGAAUGAGAAAGAAGUCACGCAGAAACAUGAAUGUUGAAGAGUGUUUUUAAAGUGUAAUUUUUCCCUCCAAAUGUACAAACUACAGCCACAGAGUUACUGUACUGUCUUUGCUACAGCUGUUUAUCACCUAACGGCUAAUAUUUUGGCGACGGUGAAUAUAUUUGGUUCAGUGGAAAAGACAGUGGUAGUCGUGUUGUGAAAACCAAGGCUUCUGAGGCCUUGGGGGCUUUCACUAAACUGAGCUGAAAAACGGUACAUUACUCUGAGCUUUUAACACAAUGCACUCCAUCCAACCUCACUGAGCUCGAGCUGUUUUGCAAGGAGGAAUGGGAAAAAAUGUCAGUCUCUCGAUGUGCAAAACUGAUGGAGACAUACCCCAAGCGACUUACAGCUGUAAUCGCAACAAAAAGUAUUAACUUAAGGGGUCUGAAUAAUUUUGCACGCCCAAUUUUUGAUUUGUUAAAAAAGUUUGAAAUAUCCAAUAAAUGUCGUUCCACUUCAUGAUUGUGUCCCACUUGUUGUUGAUUCUUCACAAAAAAAUACAGUUUUAUAUCUUUAUGUUUGAAGCCUGAAAUGUGGCGAAAGGUCGCAAAGUUCAAGGGGGCCGAAUACUUUCGCAAGGCACUGUAUCUGGUCAUGGUUGCAAUACUUAGUCAGGUGGGAUAAAGUACAGUAUAUAGCUAACAACUGUAGAUAUUCUGUUAUAUUGAUUCCUAUCUCAUGUCAGUACCUUUUCUAGUAUUUUUGAGGAAGAGAAUGGUAGAGUAAGCAAACAAACACCCUUUAAAUCAAUUAAUUGUCUCUCUCCAGCUGCUGGUGUGGCUUUAAACCAGAACUUGAUGUUCAUCGCUGGAUGUUUCCUGGCAGCAAUCGCCAUGGUGUUGGUGGAGUGGUCAUCUACAGAUCCAGACAGUCAGAGGUCAAAUGUCAACCACUAGCUGAUCAACCAUGAGUGGGUAAAUCACAAUACUGACCUUAGAUUUAGUGACUAGUGGACAACUUUAUCCCCUGCUGACCCCUCAACGCCAUUUGUGAAAUAUCAUCUUAAACUGAUGCUUUAAUGAGGAGCGUGGUUUCAUGAACAACUAAAUUGAACUGUUUUUUUUUUUAGAGAGAUAAACAAAUAAAUAAAAAUGACAAUCAAGAUUUC